rnacentral:lncRNA from 1 species
CUGUCUAUGUGGAUUACCACAUGCAUGGUGAAUGAUCUUUCGUAUUCAUUUCUUAUUAAAUUAUGAAAAUGAUCUGUCUACGUGAAUUAUCGCAUGACAGACGAAAAUCCAUUUGCAGUUUCGUAAUUUUUCUGACCCUCAAAAAUUCUGAAAAAAUUUAAAAUGAUAAUUGGAUGAGUUUUCUAGAUUGUGCCCAAAAAUAACAAUUUUUGGAUGUAUAG